rnacentral:tRNA from 1 species
UGCAGGGUGGAGCAGCUCGGUAGCUCGUCAGGCUCAUAACCUGAAGGUCAUUGGUUCAAAUCCAGUCCCUGCACCCA